AUUGAACGCUGGCGGCAUGCCUUACACAUGCAAGUCGAACGGCAGCACGGGGGCAACCCUGGUGGCGAGUGGCGAACGGGUGAGUAAUACAUCGGAACGUAUCCUGUAGCGGGGGAUAACCUCUCGAAAGAGAGGCUAAUACCGCAUACGACCUACGGGUGAAAGAGGGGGAUUCUUGGGCAACUGAGGACCUCUCACUAUUGGAGCGGCCGAUGUCGGAUUAGCAGUUGGCGGGGUAAAGCCCACCAAGGCUACGAUCCGUAGCUGGUCUGAGAGGACGACCAGCCACACUGGAACUGAGACACGGUCCAGACUCCUACGGGAGGCAGCAGUGGGGAAUUUUGGACAAUGGGCGCAAGCCUGAUCCAGCCAUGCCGCGUGAGUGAAGAAGGCC
rnacentral:rRNA from 1 species